AAAAUGUUUAUCUUUUAGUCACUAACAUAUUUCUAAGUUGUGAUUCACUCUUUUUAUCACCAGUGUGGUAUUAUCGUGAUAAAGCAUUCGCAACUCAGCAGUUGAGCCGUGAAGAUUUAAAUUAAUAUACAUUAAUAUUUUGCAUUCUUUAAGACAGUGUAAAGAAAUUCACAUCAAGGUGAAUAAUUCUGGUGGAAAUUCAACUUUGGUUGAUAAUUUCCGAGAAGUAAAUAUUGAAGAAAGCUUCAAGAUACUUGUCGAUAUUAUUGGCAAAGUACUAGAAUCCCAUACCUGGUAGACGCAGUAAGUUAUCUGUAAAAUCUAACUAUGGAUUGCUUUUCCUGGGUUCGUGGAGAUUUUAAGGCUGUGAAACAAAUCACUACUAGACCAGUUGUAGCGGUUGGUGUCUCUCAAGCAGUUCUUGCUGAACAACGUACCAGACAAGAAAGAGAACAACAAGAACGACGUGCUAAAGAAUAAUAAAUAUGUAGUAAGGAUGGUAGAGAAAUAAUAUGUAGUCAAUAAAAAUUAGUUUUGAGAAUAUAUACACCAGUCACCAGGGUUACAAAAUAUUUCAUUUGAAAAUUUUUCAUUCUUUCUUUAAAUAAAAAUUAACUGAGUCUUAUACCUCAUAUUUCCAUCCUAUAUUAGAGUAGGUUGAAUGUAUGUUUAUGAUAAUAUGAUACGUAAGGCUUAAUUAUUAUCAUCACUUUGAUAGUUAAAUAAAAAUUCAUUCGCUGAUCAAUUUUGCAAAACAAUGACAAGUUAGAGUAGUUUUUAAUUUUAUAUACUAUUUUAUUGGUAUAGAUAAUGGCAACAUUGUAAGUUAUCUGCUGAAAAUUGAAUAUUACUACAUAGUAAUGCUAAUACGUAGCAAAAACUGUUUAUCUUUUCGUCACCAACAUAUUUCUUAGUUGUGAUUCACUCUUUUUAUCACCAGUGUGGUAUUAUCGUGAUAAAGCAUUCGCAACUCAGCAGUUGAGCCGUGAAGAUUUAAAUUAAUAUACAUUAAUAUUUUGCAUUCUUUAAGACAGUGUAAAGAAAUUCACAUCAAGGUGAAUAAUUCUGGUGGAAAUUAAACUUUGGCUCAGUAAGUUAUCUGUGAAAUCCAACUAUGGAUUUCCUUUCCUGGGCAACCAAUUCCGUCCCGGUGGACGGUCAUGUCAAGGGAAUUGUCCAUUAUGCAGUUGGAGACACUAAGGGCGGGAACCAAGCUAUGUUCCAAGCCACCACAACUGCAGUAGUUGUCGGAGCUGGUGCUGCUGGAUCUCUUGCUGGUCCGGCAGGAACUAUCUAUUUUGGUUCAGUUGCUCAGGUAAUGUUCGACAGUCUUGGUACUAUAGUUUUGGAUGAGCCCCAAGGAAUAAAUUGGGCUUGUUCGAAAGUCGUGUAACAGAAGCCAUAGACGUGAGAGAAAAGAAAGGGAAGCACAGGAACAACGUGCUAGAGAAGAAAGGGAACAACAAAAAUGACGUGCUAGAGAAUAAUAAUAUGUAGUAGUGAUGAUAGAGAAAUAAGAUGUAAUCAAUAAACAUUAGUUUUGACAAUAUAUA
rnacentral:lncRNA from 1 species